GAGAUUACAGGCGGGAGCCACCACGCCCAGCUCGAAAGAAACAUUUUUUAAACACCAUUAACACGGAAGCAGCUUGGGGUGCGGUAGAGAGUGGUGAAGUGCGGUCGGUGAGAAGAUGGAGCUGCAGCCAGGUCCCUCAGCCCAGCUGUGUGACCUCGCGGGUAGAGCGGAGAUCGCCAACCCCCGCAGAGUGCAGAGCCGGGGCAGAAGUGCACCUGGGGCGUGGACCCCGGCGCCCACACAGCGGAAGCGUCCCGAGGGAGGCCAGGGUGACGGUUUCUCCUGCCGAUCUCUCUCCAGGCAGGUCUCGCGUUUCCAGUCCCUUGCUUCUGUGAACCGAAGACAGACAGGAAAGCAGGGAUUGCCACAGCUCUCUCGUUCCUGCCUCAGUUCACAACCAGCUUCAUAUACUACCCCACAUGAGAGCAGCAGGCUGGUCUAACUCUGAAGGUGGUG
ensembl:lncRNA